GUAACAUCUUACACAGAUCAGUGAAAAGUGAAGGUCUGCUGUCAACAGCCAAGAGGAGAAAGUCAUAUGUACAGCAGAGGUUUCCACAUAUCAAACCCAUUGAGUACCUUAUUGAUGGUACCCAAAGAAAAUGUGUUUAUGUGCCUCUUCUCUCGUCCUUACAGGAAUUGAUGAAAAAGCCGGAUAUUGCAGACAUUGCAUUUCAACCAAGAACCGCAAAUCCUGGGUUUCCACCAGACCUGCUGCAUGACCUCCUGGAAGGUGUAGUGCCUGUGGAGUUGGCCCUUUGCUUGCAAGGCAAUUCCUGUUGUACCGAUGGCCUCACCCCUGAAGUUGCGCGUCAUUUUGGCUGAUGACAACGCUGAAAUUCUUGUCUUGCCAUCUCGACCCAGUACAG